UUCUUCAUGUUUAUGUCUGUUACAUAGUUAUGCUGGGUUAAUAUUUGUGUGUGCAGAUAUCUAAACUCAGGAAUCUGAGUGGUUGUUCUGUUGCCCUGCUGGCCCCAUGAAAGCUGAUGCUUUACCAUAUUUGGUUGUGAUAUUUACACUACUGUACUUUAAGUUAAAAAUGGUAAUAAUUUCCAAAAUGUAAUUUUUUUUUUUGUUCUUUUCUUACAUAAUGUGUCUCCCUCCCUGUCAGGGACUGGCAGUUCUGCAAAUGCUGUUAGUGACAGCAUCCGUAGGACAACAGUGUAGGUGGUGUCCUCUGGAGGUCCUUCACCUGCAUGGAGCUAAGUCCACCUGUUGCAAUACUUGAAUGCCCAAUGAGCACUCUUAGAUGCAUCCUGAUGCUUCCUCCUCUGGGCAGCAAUGACUGCUGCCACUGCUGCUGCUUGAUCAAGGAGUGAGGAUCCACACUUCCAGAUUCUAACAAUGCAACACCAGACAUCCCUGUAAAGGAUUGACAUUGAUGAUUGACAAAUUUAAAACCCUUUGAGGGAAUGAAAUGCAAUAAAACUCAAGUGAAGACA